rnacentral:rRNA from 1 species
GACGAAGGGGGCUAGCGUUGUUCGGAAUUACUGGGCGUAAAGCGCACGUAGGCGGAUUGUUAAGUGAGGGGUGAAAUCCCAGGGCUCAACCCUGGAACUGCCUUUCAUACUGGCAAUCUCGAGUCCGAGAGAGGUGAGUGGAAUUCCGAGUGUAGAGGUGAAAUUCGUAGAUAUUCGGAGGAACACCAGUGGCGAAGGCGGCUCACUGGCUCGGUACUGACGCUGAGGUGCGAAAGCGUGGGGAGCAAACAGG